rnacentral:rRNA from 1 species
GCCUGACGGAGCAAUACCGCGUGAGGGAAGAAGGCUCUUGGGUUGUAAACCUCUUUUCUCAGGGAAUAAAAAAAUGAAGGUACCUGAGGAAUAAGCAUCGGCUAACUCCGUGCCAGCAGCCGCGGUAAUACGGAGGAUGCAAGCGUUAUCCGGAAUGAUUGGGCGUAAAGCGUCCGCAGGUGGUACAACAAGUCUAGUGUCAAAGACCGGGGCUCAACCCCGGAAAGGCGGUGGAAACUGUUGAACUAGAGGGUCGUAGGGGUAGAGGGAAUUCCCAGUGUAGCGGUGAAAUGCGUAGAGAUUGGGAAGAACAUCGGUGGCGAAGGCGCUCUACUGGACGGCAACUGACACUCAGGGACGAAAGCUAGGGGAGCGAAUGGGAUUAGAUACCCCAGUAGUCC